rnacentral:rRNA from 1 species
AGAGUUUGAUCCUGGCUCAGGAUGAACGCUGGCGGCGUGCCUAACACAUGCAAGUCGAACGGACUUUAAUGAAACCUGGUGAUUUAAAGUUAGUGGCGGACGGGUGAGUAACGCGUGGGUAACCUGCCUCACACUGGGGGAUAACAGUUAGAAAUGACUGCUAAUACCGCAUAAGCGCACGAAACCGCAUGGUUUUGUGUGAAAAACUCCGGUGGUGUGAGAUGGACCCGCGUCUGAUUAGCUGGUUGGCGGGGUAACGGCCCACCAAGGCAACGAUCAGUAGCCGGCCUGAGAGGGUGAACGGCCACAUUGGGACUGAGACACGGCCCAAACUCCUACGGGAGGCAGCAGUGGGGAAUAUUGCACAAUGGGGGAAACCCUGAUGCAGCAACGCCGCGUGAGUGAAGAAGUAUUUCGGUAUGUAAAGCUCUAUCAGCAGGGAAGAAAAUGACGGUACCUGACUAAGAAGCUCCGGCUAAAUACGUGCCAGCAGCCGCGGUAAUACGUAUGGAGCAAGCGUUAUCCGGAUUUACUGGGUGUAAAGGGAGCGUAGACGGUUUGGCAAGUCUGAAGUGAAAACCCAGGGCUCAACCCUGGGACUGCUUUGGAAACUGUCGGACUAGAGUGCAGGAGAGGUAAGUGGAAUUCCUAGUGUAGCGGUGAAAUGCGUAGAUAUUAGGAGGAACACCAGUGGCGAAGGCGGCUUACUGGACUGUAACUGACGUUGAGGCUCGAAAGCGUGGGGAGCAAACAGGAUUAGAUACCCUGGUAGUCCACGCCGUAAACGAUGAUUACUAGGUGUCGGGAACCUAUAGGUUUUCGGUGCCGCAGCAAACGCAAUAAGUAAUCCACCUGGGGAGUACGUUCGCAAGAAUGAAACUCAAAGGAAUUGACGGGGACCCGCACAAGCGGUGGAGCAUGUGGCUUAAUUCGAAGCAACGCGAAGAACCUUACCUGGUCUUGACAUCCCGAUGCCCGCUCUGUAAUGAGAGCUUUUCUUCGGAACAUUGGAGACAGGUGGUGCAUGGUUGUCGUCAGCUCGUGUCGUGAGAUGUUGGGUUAAGUCCCGCAACGAGCGCAACCCUUACCUUUAGUAGCCAGCAAUUAAGAUGGGCACUCUAGAGGGACUGCCGGGGAUAACCCGGAGGAAGGUGGGGAUGACGUCAAAUCAUCAUGCCCCUUAUGACCAGGGCUACACACGUGCUACAAUGGCGUAAACAAAGGGAAGCGACCCUGUGAAGGUGAGCAAAUCUCAAAAAUAACGUCUCAGUUCGGAUUGUAGUCUGCAACUCGACUACAUGAAGCUGGAAUCGCUAGUAAUCGCAGAUCAGAAUGCUGCGGUGAAUACGUUCCCGGGUCUUGCACUCACCGCCC